rnacentral:tRNA from 1 species
GAAUCAAAAUAAAAGAAAACUUCUAAUUUUCUUAAUAGCAAUUAAUACUGUUAAUGGUUCU